rnacentral:rRNA from 1 species
ACGGGGUGCAGCAGGCGCGAAACCUUUACAAUGCGCGAAAGCGUGAUAAGGGAAUUCCAAGUGCUUAGUUCUACUAAGCUUUUCUGAAGUCCAAAAAGCUUCAGGAAUAAGGGCUGGGCAAGACCCGUGCCAGCCGCCGCGGUAACACGGGCAGCUCUAAUGGUGAUCGCGAAUAUUGAGCCUAAAGCGUCUGUAGCCGGCUUGGUAUGUCCCUAGUGAAAUCUUGCGGCUUAACCGUGAGAAGUGCUAGGGAAACUGCCAGGCUUGAAGUCGGGAUAGGUCGGAGGUAUUUCUGGGGUAGGGGUGAAAUCCUGUGAUCCCAGAAGGACCGUCGGUGGCGAAGGCGUCCGACUAGAACGGACUUGACGGUGAGAGACGAAAGCUGGGGGAGCGACCCGGAUUAGAUACCUGGUUAGUCCCAGCCGUAAAUGAUGCUGGCUUGGUGUUGGCCGUCCUACGAGGUCGGUCAGUGCCGUAGAGAAGUCGUUAAGCCAGCCGCUUGGAAGU